rnacentral:other from 1 species
GUCGUGCUGCGGCUCUCGUCGAAGAUUUCUAAUCCCAGGGACCUUAAUCGACUCUCUUGGGAGCUGUUCCCUCCCGUGGCCGUGGCCGCGGGAAUACGGCGCCCACCUGGCUACCAGGUUCGAGUGGAUUGAAACGUCUUCACGGUUCUUCGCGGCGCCGCC